ACAUUUACCUGGCAGGGGAGAUACCAUAGUCACGAAUGUGGUUUUCCCAGGGCAAGCCUUAUCCAUUGCACUCCAGACAUGCUGCCCCUGCAUUUCUCUAAAUGUAGGAAACUGCAUCAGUUUUGGUAGUGGGGAACUGUGUUCGUACUCUCCCCUG
ensembl:snRNA U1 U1 spliceosomal RNA